UUGUUCAGCAACAUUUAAAGCAUAAGCAACCACAUUAACUUCUUCAAUUAAUCUUUUAGGAGGUUGAAUGACCCUCCUAGGUCUAUCAGUUGCUAUAGACCGUUGUGGUUGUUGAGCAGUAGCGGGAGACUCUUCUUCAACAGAAGUAUCUUGGCUCAUAGCAUUUUCUUUUUCUGGAGUUUGUCCUGAGUUAGCAGAUUG
rnacentral:lncRNA from 1 species